AGGAUUAAUAAUUUUUCUAAAUUAUAUUAUUUCAGUCGUGAUAGUUUAUCUUCAAAAUGAACACAAAAGUCGCCAUUUGUCUGAUCCUUCCGUGCAUCAUCGCACUGGUUUCUUGUGCCUAUUUACCUGGUAAUUAUGGAUACCAACAACCAAGACAGGUAGCUCCUUAUGCAAACUAUGCUGCCAAUAGUUACCAGGGUCUAAAACAGGCUAAACUGUUCAACUACCUUCUCGGAGGGUUAUACUUCUUAAACCUCUUCAAUUUCACCGGAAACAAAAUUGCGGGUUAGAAAACAUGUAUUGAGCAUACAGAAGAGGCUUACAAGCAGUUUUUAUACAGUCAUGGUAAAGAUGUGGACUAGAAUGUCGGAUAUCAAACAUCAUCAUAGAAUACCUUAUAGCAUCGUAGAGUGUACUACCAAGAUCAACAUUAUCUGUACAUUUAUGCCUUUUUUGUUAAGGCAGUACUUUAAAACUGUUGAUGUAUAAUGUUAUACAAUUGUUAAUUAAAAGAUUUUUCUCUA